UACGGGGGGGGCAAGCGUUGUUCGGAAUUACUGGGCGUAAAGGGCUCGUAGGCGGCCAACUAAGUCAGACGUGAAAUCCCUCGGCUUAACCGGGGAACUGCGUCUGAUACUGGAUGGCUUGAGUUCGGGAGAGGGAUGUGGAAUUCCAGGUGUAGCGGUGAAAUGCGUAGAUAUCAGGAGGAACACCGAUGGCGAAGGCAGGUCUCUGGGCUGACACUGACGCUCAUGCACGAAAGCGUGGGGAGCAAACAGG
rnacentral:rRNA from 1 species